AUGGAUCCAACCAAGGGGAAAUCAAUCAUCUCUUAUGACUGCACAUUACUUCAGGCUGAUACAGCACCCCCACCGCCCAUCCCCCAGUGGGCUGCACCACCGGAGGGGUGGGUAAAGCUAAACAAGGACGGAUCUUUUGAUGCCGGCAGGGCUGGAGCAGGUAUGGUACUACGGGACCCUUUGGGAGGCUUAAUCUUUUCAGCGUGCAGAACACUUUACUCGUGUCAUGAAGCUUUGGAGGCAGAGCUGUGUGCUUGCAUGGAGGGGUUAUCUCGUGCGAUCCAGCGAAGUGAUCGUCCAGUGGCCAUUGAGAUGGAUUCACUUGUUGCUAUAAAGUUGAUCCAAGGGCAAGAGAAAGAUAGUAAUGUUUGCAAUAAGCUAAUAGGACGUGCCUCCAUGCAACAACAACAACAACAACAACAACAAUAA
rnacentral:rRNA from 1 species